CCUACGGGUGGCAGCAGUGAGGAAUAUUGGUCAAUGGGCGCGAGCCUGAACCAGCCAAGUCGCGUGAAGGAUGACUGCCCUACGGGUUGUAAACUUCGUUUAUAAAGGAAUAAAGUGAGGCACGUGUGCCUUUUUGUAUGUACUUUAUGAAUAAGGAUCGGCUAGCUCCGGGACAGCAGCAGCGGUAAUACGGAGGAUGCGAGCGUGAUCCGGAUUGAUUGGGUUUAAAGGGAGCGUAGAUGGGUUGUUAAGUCAGUUGGGAAAGGUUGCGGAUCAACCGGAAAAUUGCAAUUGAUACUGGCAGCCUUGAGUACAGUUGAGGUAGGCGGAAUUCGUGGUGUAGCGGUGAAAUGCUUAGAUAACACGAAGAACUACGAUUGCGAAGGCAGCUUACUAAACUGCAACUGACAUUGAUGCUCGAAAGUGUGGGUAUCAAACAGGAUUAGAUACCCGAGUAGUC
rnacentral:rRNA from 1 species